AGGGAAGGUAAGGUGGUUGCGUGUUGAUUCAACACGAGGAAAGUCUGGACUUCCAAGAAAAAGGCACCAGAGAAAUCCUGGGCAUCGUAAGGUGACGGAAAGUGCAACAGAAACUAUACUGAGGCAACUCAGGUGAAAUGACCGGUCUGUAGAGAUGCUGACUUUUGUAAACCCUGCCUGAAGCAAGUUUUGAACGCUUGAGCGGCUAAGUAAUUUGCCGCCUAGAUAGAUAACUGCCAUCUAUAUGAUACAGAAUCCAGCUUAUUAACCUUCCCUAUUU
rnacentral:RNase_P_RNA from 1 species